GUGACCAUGGUCUUUCAGAAACAGAAUUUUAUCUUUGAUUUUGCAGAAUGAGCAUUAAUGGAAAUCUCUUUGCUCCCAGACGGUCAACAGCUGAAUGAGAAGUCAUUUAUGGUGGUUAAGAUCUAUCCUGGCUCCAGUCUUUCAUCUGUGAUCGGAAGGGGAAUUAUGCCACCUCCAUCAGCAGGCGAUGAUCCAAGGGCUUCCACAUAUCCGACUUGUCUGCAUGGGGGAAUACGAAGAAAGGGGAAAUGGGAAAAAGCCCAAAGAAGAUGGGUGAACAGGAUCUCUUCUUUCUAGGUCCUUCACUGCAAGAAGGAUAUUGAGGUGCUGGAAAAAGUCCAGAGAGGGGCGAUGGAGAUGGUGAAGGGUCCAGAGAAUAAAUUCUAUGAGGAGCACCUGAGAGAGCUCGGGUUGUUUGGCUUGGAGAAAAGGAGGCUCAAUGGAGAAGUAAACAUUCUCUACAGCUACCUGGAAGGAGGUUGUAGCCAGUAGAAUAAAGGGGAGCAGCAAACCAAAGCCACUGUGCUGAACCAGGACAGAAGUCCCACCUCACUGGCUGCAGAGUAAUGAUCACAAGGCUGGCUGCUUCCUUGGAGAACUGCUGGAGGGACCUGCCAAGCAUCCUGCUGUAGGGCACUGCAGCAUUCUGUUUAAGUGACACAGCCAAGAAAAAAAAAGGAUUUUUGAAGAGUGCAGUGAGGAAGAGAGGUUAAUGAUUGAAAAUAAAUAAGUGAGGAUAUUGAAGGUGAUUAAAAUGAAAAAAAAUUGCAUACAAAUUAAAGAGAUUAGAUUGAUUCUGCAUAUACAUGUGUGCACAGUUUAAAACUUGUUUGGCCAUUGGCCAAAUUUCACAGAAAGGAGUAUUUGUCCUGCCUUCUGGAAGUUGCAUCUCUUGAAGUAUCUUUCCUUCAGUGGUUGGUUGAUUUGAUUCUGUUGCUGAUGUUGUCUUCUAGCAGCUUGCAUUUUGUCCUGCUUGUUAUAUAGCAAUCAUAGCUGUUAUUAACUACUAUAGGCAUAAAUAAAGCAUGAUGGAUGAAUUAACUGAAGAGUCAUAAACAGUGUGCUGUCUUACAGGAGGUUUUAAAUGUUUGCUGACCUUUGCUUCAGUCAGACAUGUAUCAUAUAUAUAGAUGCAUGUGAUUGCAAAUAUUGAUAUUUUCAUGCUUUAUUUUUUUAAUGAAGUAAAGGCUGACAGCAUGUCUAAAUGGAAACUUCCUUUUUUUUUUUUGUGAAUAAAAUAUUUACUUAUGUUUCCUGUUGUUUCUGCUUACUUUCCUGUUGGGUAUACUUAACUAUUGAUUAAAUUUUUUUACUUUACUUACUUUCAUUUAGAUAUUCAUAAGUGGAAUGUUAAUAUACACUCUAAUUAUUUUUUUUUCUCUAUUUCUAAGAUAUCAACAAUUUGAUCACACGUGCUUGUGUGGCUUUAUAGCAUCAGAAAACAACAGAUGAUUUUCAGAUUGGCUUAGCUGAUAAAAAAGAAAGACCCUUUGAAUGGGAAAUUGCACACUAUACUCUGAAUGCAGUCAAAUGGAUGAAGUAAAUUAAUUUCCCUGGCACUUUUUUUCUGAAAGACCUCCAGUCUAUUAAUUGGAGUAUUGUGUUUACAUUUCCAUUUGUCUUCAUAUAAGAACCUAGGUAAUUGUUAACUGCAUACAGAGAGAAGUCCAAGAGAAGAGCAACUGUGUAUAACAGCUUUUGAAGGGGCAAGAGUGAGUUUGGGAGACAACCUUUAGCAAGCAACAAGAAGAAUCAGUCAUAGUAAUUAUUAUAAUCUACUUCAAAACAUCCAGGAAAACAAAAUUAUUCUAAAAUUUAUUCUAUCAGUUUUACCAAUAAGAUACCUCUUUAUUAGUGGGAGAAAACUCACAACCCAAAACACAAAAAUUCUUACUUCUACAGUAAGCAGAGAUUUUGCAGAGCAUAGUUUGCUAUCUCAUAUAGGUUCCAGCUAGGUAAUACAUGUGAAUACAUGAUACCAAUGUCAACCUUCUGUAGAGAAUAGUCACCUGAAUAUUUUACUUCAUUUGCCAGUAAUUUCCAAUGUUUUCUUUGAGUUCUACUCCUCUCUAGCAAAUGUGAUUGAAAUUCACCAGUAAGUUCGAAACUUUCAGAGGAAGAUGAGAGAAAGCGUGAAACUGGAAUGAGCUACUCAAUCAAACAAGUCUCAUUUACUUUAGAGAGUAGGUUUUAUGAUGGUAUUCUUAACUGGGAUAACAAUUGGUAGUAAGAUGAUUGAACAUGGCUGCACAUAUGCUGCUCUAUAGUAUUUCAGGGCACUGCUGAAAAAUAUUGUAGUAUGCAUAUAAUGCCACUUGCCCUGUUUUUUUGUGCUCUAGCCCACCUAUCUAAAUUUCAGGGACUGAAUGCUCUGCUUUCAUUUCUAUGACUCUCUGAGGGGUUAUGAGCAAAAUCAUUGAAGCUGGAGCUUUGUCACUUAUUGGCUCUGAAACUUACUUAUCUAUGCAGAAGAUAAAUUACACCAGCCUGCUUAUUUCAUCAUGACAUAAGCAGCCUUCUUUCAUUUCAGACCCUAUUUCUCAGGCUGUGCAGACUGUGAAUUAUAGCGUUCUGAGAAUUGUGUGAAUAAAAAACUUCUUUACCUGUCCAUACCUGGCAUUUGAGAUUGUAGCAUAAAGAAAAUGAGGGUAAAAUUGCAAAGGACUUCUGGUCUUGAAAAUUUUGUUCAGGCCUCAGAAACUGAAGCUCUUUGAGCUCCUCUUAUUAAGAAGCCAUUUUUCCACUGUCAGACUACAUUCUAUGGAGAAAAAGUUUUGUUUUAGGAACAGACAUAAUUAAGCAGUAAACAGCCACACUAAGCAGCUUUUUCUAUUAGACUGAAACGUUAGCAAAAAAUUGUGCAGGAUUUUGCUUCAGAAGGCCAGUCUAUAUUCAUUACAUGCACUCCCUUACUCCUCUGAGCCAGUGAGAUCCUAGCAGCAUGAGCUCUGAGGCUGUAUUAUAAAAAUUCCUGCCCUCUUCAUCUGUGAGCCUCUUGUUCAGGAAAACUCUCAGUGGACAUUCAAUGAAAGCAAUCUUAUAUUUUAUGUCUGUGGUUCCUAUUAGAAAUAUCUUGCUUUCCCUGCCCCACCCCCAGUAAGCAUAGGGAGAGAGGAAAAAAGUGCUUAUUCACGAUUUUGCUUGGUUAAUUCAUUCCUCCCAAUGUCUUCCUUUUUUGUCUAAGCAUACUGAUGGGCUCUCAAAUAGGGACAUAAGUGAGGUCAGCUUUCUCCACCAGCCUUGAAUAGCCUACCCUGUGCCGAAGAGGCUUUACAAUCCAUUUAGUCAACAUAGCUUGGAAAAAUUACUAUCAGGCACUAAUGCCGACUUGGAACACACAGAUGGCAGAAAGCAGAGCAAAAUAUUACUAAACAAAUAAUGUUUUGAAUGUUAGUGUUUAGGGAGAUGCAGAAAAAUCAUACAGCUCUUGCCUGCUCCACUCAUUCUGUUAGAGGCUGGAGGAAUUUUUGCAAAUUGCUUCUGGGAACAUAUUGGAGGGAUCUAAACUUCACAAGUGAGUUCCUUUUUUUCAUAGCAGAGAUCAAGUGGCCUAACUUAUUUAGAAUAGAUUUAUUUUACUGUUUUUUUUUUUUUUUUUUUCACACCAGAGAUCAUCUCGUAAGACAGCAGAAGUCUUCUUUAUGUUUUCUCCUCAUAAACAAUUUCAUAUGAAGAAAGUCAUCAGCACCUGAGAGCUGUAUCUGUACUAUUGCUUACACUGCACUUGUCAGACCUAAACAACAAUGAAGCUGAGAAAAAUGUCUUAAAGUUAAUGAUUUUCAGUAAAGUCUUUUUUUGUUCAAACAGUGAGUUUUGGUGGUACCUUUUCCAGUAAGAAAACUAUUUUAUAAUGGAAUUACUAUCUGGAGACCAUAUUAAGUCAAAGGAGAGGGCAUAAAUUAUUCCAUAUGAAUUCGUAACCUGAAAUCCUUAGCCAAAGCUCAUUAAAACCUGAAGCAAAACCAACACUUCUCAAAAGGAAGGAUGAUUGCCUCACUAACAGAGACAUGAACAUUUUUUUUUUCUUGAACGACCUUUUUAAUUAGAAAAAUCUAAUUUGAGGAUUGCCAAAUCUGUACAGUAUUUGAUGAAUUCUUUUCAACAAGACAGGAAAAUGAAAAUAAUAUUUUUAAAACCCCAGAAAUCAACAUCCUGCCUUUUCUACCUCUCUUUUUUUUCCCCCUUUAAAAUAUCCCUCCUUAUUUUAAGAGAAUAAUAUCUAUUACUUUAUUUUAAAUUUCUCAGUUUCCCAACUCAUUAUGAAUUCAGCUGUCUGGACACAGUUAGAUCAGAGUUUUUGUUAUAAUAAUGUAGGUGAAUAUUCCUUAUUAGCUUGAUGCAAAAGAAAUUUCUAACAAUUUUCACCCUUGGUUAAAAAUAAAAUGUAUUUAAUUUCUUGUACCUAGUCAAGGUUAGAGGAGAUAAUAUUGGGAGUUACUUUUCCAUCAUGGAUAACUUAUUUCUAGGCUACAAUAAACAAAAAUGAGACAAAGCAAGAAAGAAAAUAUACCUGCAAAAAACUGCAGUUCAGACAUGAAAGGUAUGAACACAGAACACGUUUUAGCAAAUACUAAAAUUCAGAUUUGACUGGCUGCUUCUAAUGUAGCACAGCAAUACAAUGUUGAAAACGUCACAAAAGCUGAAACAAUAAACUGUUCUUUAAAUUUUUUUUAAAAUUUUAUUUUACCAAAAAGAAGUGUCAGAAUGUCUUCAGGUUUUAUAUUUAUGAUCAGAUUUUGAAAAUAAUGGAAGAGCUUGAUGAACAGCAAAAUUAUUACAGAUAAUCAGCACAGAAAGCCUGUUCUGCAAUCUUUUAGUCCACACAAGUUUUUGGAUCCCUUUUAUUCAUUGGACACAUGUGAAUGCAAUCCAGAUCACUCUCACUGUGAGACUUAUUUUAAAAAGCACUUUGUGAAAUUGAACUUGAACAAAGAAAUAAUAUAGUUCGUUAAAGAACUCAUCUGUGUACCAGCCUUGUUAUUAAGCAAAACAAUCAGUUUAAUUUUUUUUAAUUUGCGAAACCAUUUUGGGAUAAUAAGAAAAUUGAACAUUGCAUACCACACUGCUGUAUGUACAUUUUAAGAUAAUUAGAUGUUCAAUAUCCAGUAUUCCCAGGAAGAGGAAUAGCUAUGAGCCUUAUUCUGUUUUGAAACUCAAACUCCCCUUAUUACAUUUUCAUUACUUUUUCUACUCACUUUAUUUUUCCAUUUCUCCUCCUGGUCCUCUUCUACCCCAGCACAAUUUUGGAUGUGUGGGGCAAUUUAUGUUUGUUGUUGUUGAAUGCAGGGUAUAUGAAAAAGAUGCAAAGAUUCUUAGAAUAUCUUCCGGACUUGCUUGUGCUGUUUGAGAGUAAGCAACUGAGUGGUGGGAGCUCUCUGUAUUCUGCUUAAUGGCAUUAUUUUAAUGUUUAUGGAUUUUAAAUGUAAAAAAAAUUGGCUGUUUAAAGUAAAACACUGUAAAAAAAUAAAUAAAAAUUCUAUCAUUAAAGAUAAAGUAAAAAGUGUCACAAAGUUCAACUACCACAAAUAUCCGAUUUAGGAGGUUGUACGUUACAGUAAACUUCACCUACGAAAUACUGCAGUUCUGCUAAAGUCAGUGCAGUCACUGAUCUACAUUAGAUGAAGAGCUCAACAGAGUGUGUAAAAAUUCAUUCUCUAAUACUAUAAGAAGAAUUAUGCUUUUCCUUUUGUUGAGUGUUUUUAUUUUUUCAUCCUUUUCUUCAAACCACCCUGGAAAUUCAGCCAGUGACAAUUUGAUUCCCUUAGAUUUGCCACUCAUUUGCUGGUUCUAACUUUAGCACCCAGAGAUGCUUGGCAGAUUAAUUGAUGAAAACCAUGAGUUUCUCUGAAUAUGCACACCUUCCUGCCAUGUGUUUCCCCUGCCACCUCUGCCUGUGCAGACAGCUGGGUGGAUUACUGCUUCUUCAGUUUGAUCCCUUCUGCCCUGAUGCAGGCAGAUUGAACCAUGAUGCAAAAGGAGAUGAAAAGCACAGAACAGGUAAGAAUAAAUACAUAAGAAGGAAACAAAACUGUGCUUUGACAAGCUGUUUACAAGGGAAACACCCUCUCCAGAAGUAAAAUUCCACAUCUUGUGUAUUGACACCACAAGUCAUUAUGGGAGGCAGAUAUUGCCUUCAGUGGAUAUAUCUGGCUAUGCUUGUUAUCCAAAAGAAAACUGGGGAAGUUUACCUUCUCUGUUCCCAGUUCUCCUUCUCUGCUUCCAGUUCAGAGGUCUGCAGGAAACUGCUGGUGGAUUUGAAGUAGAAGCUUUCAUGACACCUCCAUCCAGCUGAACUGGCAGCAGGUUUGAGCUAUGAUGGCAUCCCAGAUUUUGUAAAUUUAGUGCUGUCCUCACUUGAAAGUUGGAGUCUGUCACAUUUACCAAAAAGCAUAUCUUCUUUCACCACAAACAUGAUGUUUUGCUUAUUUUUCUGUCCUAGCCUUCAAUAUCUUUACCUCAUAACAGAAUUUCUUAUUGUGUUAUCUAAAAGUUUUAUUUUAUCAAGAAUAAAUUAUUUUUACAACAGGAAAACACUGAUGAACUAUUUAACUACCUAAUUGAGAACUGCUUGAAAAGGGUUGCAAAUUUUCCUUACCCAAGACUUUCUACUCUGAAGCAGCACUAAGCUGUCUUUUACUGCAAUGCUGCACUGUCCCCUUGAAAGCUUUGGUCAUGCAGUCAGUCUGAUGUGCUGACAUUUUGCAGGUCCCAAAUUUCCUGUAUGAACUGUGCCUCCUCUGGGGUCUGUAAGCCACAGAAGGCAAAAUGGGAAGCAGAAGAUUGUGGCUCACAGUGAUUAGCAUAAUCAAACAAAAAUGCAGGUCUCAUCAGACACUGUGACACAAUAGCCCCAGGGAUCUUAGUAUUGAGCUGCCCUGACACAAAAGAUUUAGUAUCAGUUUAAAAAUCAAAGUGUUCUGCCUUUUUUGUAGCCUGUGUUUGCUUGCUUGUUUCCUUAAAAUAGUUUGAAAUGUAACAAAUCAUGAAGUACUGGUAAAAGUAUAAGAGAGCUGAAUAAACUUAAUACUUUUCUUUUGCUAGUGCCCUCCUUUUUUAUAUAGAGCUGUUUAUAUAGAGCUAUAAGAUCCCUGAAAAGAGCUGUUUCAUUGUUAUUUGUCUCAGGAAUAAAACGUGGUGAAAAUGUAAAAAAAAAAAACCAAAUUCCAUGCAAGUGGUUGACAAACACACAGACUCACGGGUCCUGGGAGUUGUGAGGCUUGCCAGC